rnacentral:rRNA from 1 species
CCCUUAGACGUUCUGGGCCGCACGCGCGCUACACUGACACAGGCAACGAGCUUUCCUUUACCGAAAGGUAUGGGUAAUCUUUUGAAACUGUGUCGUGCUGGGGAUAGAUCCUUGCAAUUUUUGAUCUUAAACGAGGAAUUCCUAGUAAGUGCGAGUCAUCAACUCGCGUUGAUUACGUCCCUGCCCUUUGUACACACCGCCCGUCGCUACUACCGAUUGAAUGGCUUAGUGAGGCCUCAGGAUCCGCGCUUAAUGUGUGGAGAAUUUGGACAAACUACGUCAUUUAGAGGAAGUAAAAGUCGUAACA